UACGUAGGCAGCGAGCGUUGUUCGGAAUUACUGGGCGUAAAGAGUCUGUAGGCGGUGCUCUAAGUCUGUUGUGAAAUCUCCCGGCUUAACUGGGAGGGUGCAGCGGAAACUGGAGUGCUCGAGUGUGGGAGAGGUAAGCGGAAUUCCUGGUGUAGCGGUGAAAUGCGCAGAUAUCAGGAGGAACACCGGUGGCGAAGGCGGGUCUCUGGGCAGUAACUGACGCUGAGGAGCGAAAGCGUGGGUAGCAAACAGGAU
rnacentral:rRNA from 1 species